CCUACGGGUGGCAGCAGUGAGGAAUAUUGGUCAAUGGACGAGAGUCUGAACCAGCCAAGUAGCGUGAAGGAUGACUGCCCUAUGGGUUGUAAACUUCUUUUAUAUGGGAAUAAAAUGUUCCACGUGUGGGAUUUUGUAUGUACCAUGUGAAUAAGGAUCGGCUAACUCCGUGCCAGCAGCCGCGGUAAUACGGAGGAUCCGAGCGUUAUCCGGAUUUAUUGGGUUUGAAGGGAGCGUAGGUGGAUUGUUAAGUCAGUUGUGAAAUUUUGCGGCUCAACCGUAAAAUUGCAGUUGAAACUGGCAGUCUUGAGUACAGUAGAGGUGGGCGGAAUUCGUGGUGUAGCGGUGAAAUGCUUAGAUAUCACGAAGAACUCCGAUUGCGAAGGCAGCUCACUGGACUGCAACUGACACUGAGGCUCGAAAGUGUGGGUAUCAAACAGGAUUAGAUACCCGGGUAGUC
rnacentral:rRNA from 1 species